AUUGAACGCUAGCGGGAUGCCUUACACAUGCAAGUCGAACGGAGUGGCGAACGGGUGAGUAAUGUAUCGGAACGUGCCCAGUAGCGGGGGAUAACUAUGCGAAAGCGUAGCUAAUACCGCAUACUAUUGGAGCGGCCGAUAGCGGAUUAGCUUGUGGGUGCGGUAACGGCUCACCAAGGCGACGAUCCGUAGCUGGUUUGAGAGGACGACCAGCCACACUUGGACGUAGACACGGCCCAGACUCCUACGGGAGGCAGCAGUGGGGAAUUGUGGACAAUGGGGGAAACCCUGAUCCAGCCAUCCCGCGUGUGCGAUGAAGGCCUUCGGUUUGUAAAGCACUUUUGGCAGGAAAGCGGUACCUGCAGAAUAAGGAUCGGCUAACUCCGUGCCAGCAGCCGCGGUAAUAC
rnacentral:rRNA from 1 species